GCUGGCGGCGUGCCUAACACAUGCAAGUCGAACGAGAAAGUGGAGCAAUCCAUGAGUAAAGUGGCGACCGGGUGAGUAACACGUGACUAACCUACCUCUUAGUGGGGAAUAACUCCGGGAAACCGGGGCUAAUACCGCAUAACACCGCAAGGUCAAAGCAGCAAUGCGCUGGGAGAGGGGGUCGCGGCUGAUUAGCUAGUUGGCGGGGUAACGGCCCACCAAGGCGAAGAUCGGUAUCCGGCCUGAGAGGGCGCACGGACACACUGGAACUGAAACACGGUCCAGACUCCUACGGGAGGCAGCAGUGGGGAAUUUUGCGCAAUGGGGGAAACCCUGACGCAGCAACGCCGCGUGGAGGAUGAAGCCCUUUGGGGCGUAAACUCCUUUCGACUCGGACGAUAAUGACGGUACGAGUGGAAGAAGCACCGGCUAACUCUGUGCCAGCAGCCGCGGUAAUACAGAGGGUGCGAGCGUUGUUCGGAAUUAUUGGGCGUAAAGGGCGCGUACGCGGUGCGGUAAGUCACCUGUG
rnacentral:rRNA from 1 species